rnacentral:rRNA from 1 species
GUUUAUGCCCAUGCCACCCAGAACAUACUCGAUCUCAUCUGAUCUCAGAAGUAAAGCAGGGUCUGGCUUGGUUAGUACUUGAAUGAAAGGAAAAAAAAUGGAUUAAAAU